GAUGAACGCUAGCGGCAGGCCUAAUACAUGCAAGUCGGACGGGAUUCAGGAGCUUGCUUCUGCUGAGAGUGGCGCACGGGUGCGUAACACGUAUGUAACCUACCUUUAUCAGGGGGAUAGCCUCUCGAAAGAGAGAUUAAGCCCGCAUAAAAUCACAGCACAGCAUUGUGUAAUGAUCAAAUAUUUAUAGGAUAAAGAUGGGCAUGCGGAACAUUAGCUAGAUGGCGGGGUAACGGCCACCAUGGCGACGAUGUUUAGGGGAUCUGAGAGGAUGGCCCCCCACACUGGUACUGAGACACGGACCAGACGCCUACGGGAGGCAGCAGUAAGGAAUAUUGGUCAAUGGGCGGAAGCCUGAACCAGCCAUGCCGCGUGCAGGAAGACGGCCCUACGGGUUGUAAACUGCUUUUAUACGGGAAUAAACCCAGAUACGUGUAUCUGGCUGAAUGUACUGUAAGAAUAAGGAUCGGCUAACUCCGUG
rnacentral:rRNA from 1 species